CCGGGCGGAGGACGCCUUUUCUGGAGCGGGCCGGCUGCGGAGCUCAUCGGUCGCCGCCGCCGCCGCAGUUCCGCACGGGGGGACCGAGGGCGGAGGAAGGCAGGGUGGUCGGCUGUGGCUAGGAGUGGGCUGGACCGGACGCCAGAGACAAAGGCUCUCCACGCAAGAGGGACUCGGACCUGCGACGGCGCUGCUCGGGAUUGGUGAACCCAGGACUUCUCGCCCCUUCGUUUUCCUCUUCCGACGCUUCCCUCAUCCCGAGCCCGCGACCCCGCUCCUCACCGGAGGGCCGCGAUGGAGGUCCCGCCCCGGCUCUCCCAUGUGCCGCCGCCAUUGUUCCCCUCCGCGCCCGCUACUUUAGCCUCCCGCAGCCUCUCCCAUUGGCGGCCGCGGCCGCCGCGGCAGCUGGCGCCGCUGCUCCCUUCGCUCGCUGCCGGCACCGCCCGGCAGGGGGCGCGCCGGGGCCCGCGCCACGUCACCGCCCAGCAGCCCUCCCGAUUGGCGGGCGGGGCGGCUAUAAAGGGAGGGCGCAGGCGGCGCCCGGACCUCUUCCGCCGCCAUUUUAAAUCCGGCUCCAUACAACGCUCCGCCGCCGCGGCCGCGACUCGAACUGCGCGCCAGCACCCGCCGGCCGACAACGCCGCCGCCAUGGAGGACGUGAACGAGUACAGCAACACGGAGGAGUUCGCAGAGGGAUCCAAGAUCAACGCGAGCAAGAAUCAGCAGGAUGACGGUAAAAUGUUUAUUGGAGGCUUGAGCUGGGACACAAGCAAGAAAGAUCUGACUGAAUAUUUGUCUCGAUUUGGGGAAGUUGUAGACUGCACCAUUAAAACAGAUCCAGUCACUGGACGAUCAAGAGGAUUUGGAUUUGUGCUUUUCAAAGAUGCUGCUAGUGUUGAUAAGGUUUUGGAACUGAAGGAACACAAACUGGAUGGCAAAUUGAUAGAUCCCAAAAGGGCCAAAGCUUUAAAAGGGAAGGAGCCCCCCAAAAAGGUUUUUGUGGGUGGAUUGAGCCCAGAUACUUCUGAAGAACAAAUUAAAGAAUAUUUUGGAGCCUUUGGAGAGAUUGAAAAUAUUGAACUUCCCAUGGAUACAAAAACAAAUGAAAGAAGAGGUUUUUGUUUUAUCACAUACACAGAUGAGGAGCCAGUAAAGAAAUUGUUAGAAAGCAGAUAUCAUCAAAUUGGUUCUGGGAAGUGUGAAAUCAAAGUUGCCCAACCCAAAGAGGUAUAUAGGCAACAGCAGCAACAACAAAAGGGAGGAAGAGGUGCUGCAGCUGGUGGAAGAGGUGGUACUAGGGGUCGAGGCCGAGGUCAGGGCCAAAACUGGAACCAAGGAUUUAAUAACUAUUAUGAUCAAGGAUAUGGAAAUUACAAUAGUGCCUAUGGUGGUGAUCAAAACUAUAGUGGCUAUGGCGGCUAUGAUUAUACUGGGUAUAACUAUGGGAACUAUGGAUAUGGACAGGGAUAUGCAGACUACAGUGGCCAACAGAGCACUUAUGGCAAGGCAUCUCGAGGGGGAGGCAAUCACCAAAAUAAUUAUCAGCCAUACUAAAGGAGGACAUUGGAGAAAACAGCGGGAACUUCAUUGCAGGCCGUGUGUCACCCUGACCACGUCUAUCUCUGGGGGUCGCACGUUGCGGGCAGAGCGCAAGGCAUACACCAGAAAACGCUGUCCUGUGGAGGAGAUUGCUAAAGUAACCCAUCUGGCAGGACGCCAUUGAAGAUUGAUUGAUCUUCUCUUGCUCUAAGAUGAUUAUUUUGUAAAAGACUUUCUAGUGUAUAAGACACAACUGUGUCCAACUGUAUAUAGCCGCCAAUUAGUUCUCUUUGUUUUUACUUUGCCUUUUGCUAUGUGUUAUGAUUCAAUGUGGAUUUGUGUUUAUACAAAUUUUAUUUGUAUGAUUUCAUGUUAAACCUCAAAUAAAUGCUUCCUUAUGUGAUUGUUUUUCUGCGUCAGGUACUAAAUAGCUCUGUAAAAAAGGGUGAUUUUAAAUAAGCAAUAAUUAAGGCACAGUUUAUUUUGUAAGGAGUAUUGGUCUGUAAGGAGAAACUGGCCCUUAUGAACAGCCAGCUACAGUGUCACCCUGUUCCCAUUUUUGUUAGCUGUAUUCUAUGCUCCCACUCUUCAUUUCCCUGUUAACUGAGGCUUUCACCACAUUUCAAAAUGUUUCCUCUGUGUGUAUCUGGAGACCUUUGUCAUGGAAGUAUCCAUGUCAUAGUCAUAGUGUUGUGAUUAGUGGAAGCUUUCUAGUAGACCAUGAAUCUUCCAAUGAUUAUACUCUGAAGAAAAGUACCCCUUUAAUGGCACAAAGCAUGUUGGUUGCUCCUUUUAUGAAUGGGAAAGAUUUUGCUUUGUUCCUGUCUCUGGAAAGCCAUUUGUCGUGAUUUGUUAAAUAUUUUAACUUAAGUGGUUCAUUAGAAAGACCUUUGAGUAAUCAUAAUACCAUGACUUUAAUUGUUCUUGAUAAAAAGUCCAGAUGUACCCAGGAAUAAAGCACUGUUGAACUAGUGGGAGCUAUAGUUUGAGGCUAUCAAAAAUAGUUACAUUAUCACAAAGAUUUUGGCAGAUAAGUUUGAGGUUAUUAGAACUAGAGCAAAAGUUAAAGUAUUUAAAGGUAGUGACUGAAUUAGUUUUAGUUGGUAUGUCACAGUAAGCAGCAAACAGCUGUUUUGGGGCAUUCUUAGGAAGCUAUAUUGGGUGUUAACUGUUAAUGUGUGAACUCUUAGUAAAAGCCAUGUUAGUAGCUCAUUUUUAAUGCAAUUAGUGCAUGGGCCAAGUAGCUACGCAUAUCCAUAUUCAGACAGGAAGAAAUAGUAGGGAAACUGCUUGAGUGUUAUUUUAAUGCAAAUCUUAAGUGUGACUAAGUCAUGUCAUUAGAACAAUCUUGGUGCAUUAUUAAAAAGCUUUAGCUCUAGAUUUUGGGAGGAUUUCCUGGGUAAAUCCAAGCUUUGAAUUUUAUAUUAAGUAUAGUUAUUGGACUUAAGGUUUUUUUAAUUUUGUUUUUAUGAUUCCAUGUUAGCCAUUGGGGAUUGGGAUACGUUUGUAUGUGGAAUAGUUGACCUCACCUUAAAGUAUAAACUUACAUUGAUGAA